GACUGUAGAUGGUGUAGUGGUGUGAACGUUGGACUAUGACUCUGAAGACCAAGGUUCAAAUCCCGGUUCAGCCA